GACGAACCGUGCGAACGUUGUUCGGAAUCACUGGGCUUAAAGGGCGCGUAGGCGGCCCGUCAAGUCAGGGGUGAAAGCCCCCAGCUCAACUGGGGAAGGGCCUUUGAUACUGGCGGGCUCGAGGGGGAUAGGGGCGGACGGAACUUCCGGUGGAGCGGUGAAAUGCGUUGAUAUCGGAAGGAACGCCGGUGGCGAAAGCGGUCCGCUGGGUCCCCUCUGACGCUGAGGCGCGAAAGCCAGGGGAGCAAACGGG
rnacentral:rRNA from 1 species